CCCAGUCCGGACCACACAUCCGACCCCCCUCGGAAAGAGGGCGAGAUCCCCGCCGCUCCGUUUUGUUUCAAUGCCCGGGGAACCCUGUCUACAAAAAUGACAGCUCGAGC
ensembl:antisense